rnacentral:lncRNA from 1 species
AACUUGUCAAGGUCAAUUGCUGUUCUCAAGGGGAACCUUGGAGCAAUACGGUCCAUUCGCUACACAUCUGAUGGUAAGUACAUGGCCAUGGCUGAGCCUGCUGACUUUGUGCAUGUGUAUGACGUGAAAAGUGGGUAUGAGAAUGAGCAAGAAAUCGAUUUCUUUGGUGAGAUAUCCGGCCUAUCCUUUAGUCCGGACACAGAGUCUCUCUUUAUUGGUGUAUGGGAUCGUACAUAUGGCAGCCUUCUUGAGUAUGGCCAGCGGAGGAACUACUUAUAUCUUAAUUCCCUAAUGUGAGUUGAUUGUGAUGCAGGCAAAACAAGCAUGCUGGUGUAGUUUAUGAUAUUUGAGGAACUUGUAUCAUUUCAAGUUGUAGAAGAGGGUUUACUGUAGAUGUAAAAUGUAAAAUGAAAUGAAAUCUGUAACUUUAGGUGAUUGCUGUUGAAUUAGAAUUUAGUUUUCUGAUGAUAUAAGAUGUUAAUGGGAGAAAGGGUAGAAUUAGAUAGGGUUCUUAAGUUGAACAAAAGUGAAAGACGUGUAUGGUUUCCUUGGGUGGGGAGCUACACACUACAGGUUUUAAAUUUGAAUUUAUACACGGUGGAUUUAACUCAACUAAGAUUCGUAUACUAGUAUACCCAAAUAUUAUAAAAAAUAGUGAUAUAAUUAGAGGAUGUAUUUUUAUUGACCUCAACCUGUUCAUGUGUCCAGCUGUUGUCAUGGGUUGAAGCUUUAGCUCGGCUAUUCAUACGGCCUUAGAUGCCGCACAAUAAGCUCAACCAACAAUGACAAAAGGAUAUAGUCAAUACCCAAAGACACACAAGGUUAAAGGCACUUGAGAGAGAAGUUUAACAAGGAGCAGUGAUAAAAGAUUUAGUCAAUGCCAAAAACCACACGCAAGGUUAAAGGCACUUGACAGAAGAUAACGCAAGGAUAACACUUAAAGGAUAAAGGCACUUAAGAUAGUCAAUGCCAAAAAACACACACAAGGUUAAAGGCACUUGAGAGAGAGAGAGAGAUAACACAAGGAAAACACUUGCGAGAUGAUAAAGGCACACAAGGAAGAUUGUAGGAAAAUGCUUCGGUAUUUGACCGUCAAUGUGCGAACGUCGAACCCGAGGGACAUAAAGUAAUCAAAAUGCUAAGAAUCAAAAUACAUGCAAGGGAAAAACUAUUAAGCUACUAAGGCAACUAUUUAUUACGACAAUGGUAAAGAAAUGAUUUCUUACAAUUCCUAAUAAGAGAAUAAAUGUGCAAAAAUCCAAUUAUCAAAAUUAACAAAUAGGCAACAAUAGUGAUUGGUUAAUUUCCAUGCUAACAGUGAAUUUGUGCAUAAGGGAUUUAAUCACUAAUUUUCUCAUUUAUUAACAUCUCACAUUAAGUAUAUUCAAUAGAUAUUGCUCGUUUGAGCAUGCUUCCAGUAGAACCAGUGAGUAUGGUUCGAUUGAGCAUACUUUCAAUAGAAUCAGUAUCUCAUUUUUUUUUAAGAUCAUACUAUUAUACAAUAUGAUAUUUAAUAAAAUUAUAUCAACAUAGAAUAUAAAAAUUGUUAGAAGUAUAAAUAAUCGUACAAACUUACAGGAUUGAUUUGUAGUAACGGCUUAGAAUAUCUUAAUCAGUUAGGUUUGUCUCUUCGGAUUAUUAGCUUGACGCUUAUGGCAGAAUCGAAACUUUUUCAUCUUUCAAAGGAAAUCCUGGAGCUCUAGCGAGAUCAUUAAAGUUUCCAUGUGUUGGACCAAAAAAUCUUCUUUGGCUCCUAAAGAUGGUUUGAUUGAUAACAUAGGUUUACCUCAUGGGGAGCCUUUUUCCAAGGUUGAACCUUUCUUAACACCAAUGGUGUUGUUCAAGUAACGUCAGGAAGAGCAACUACUGGAGGAGUGGUACGGGAUGGUACUGGUGAUUGGGUGAUUGGUUAUAAUAGAUUCCUAAGGAAUUGUUCGAUUUUUGACACGGAACUUUGGGGCAUUUUGGAUGGCUUAAAACUCCUCCAACGUAAAGGUCAUAGCAGUGUAGUUAUUCACUUUGAUAGCUUGGAGGUAGUAAAAGCUAUUCAUGGAAAUAUUUUGAAGAUCUCAAACUCUACCCUGAUCAAAAGAAUACAUAGUAUUUUGUCCCAAGAAAGUCAAUGGAUUUAAGAUAUAGCCCAGGGAGGAGAAUCAAUGUGCUGACUAUCUUGCCAAAUUGGCCUUUGAAAGGAAAAAGGAUUUACAACUGGUUGAAACCCUCCAGAUGCAGUGUUAGAUUUCCUUAAUUCAAAUAAAGAAAGGAAUUUUUAUACCUUUCGAAUAUUUCAUGUAAUUUAAUUUUGUUAUGCUUCUUUUCACAAAAAAAAAAAUGGGGAUCGUUUAGUUUUAAGUGGUAAAAUGACUAAAAUACCCUUAAGGUUAAAUCCUUACAAAUAGUUUUAAAAUGGUUCACAAAUCGCUUCCGCAAUAAGAUUAGAAAGUUAUUAGUUAGAAUUGAGGUGUUAUAAGGUUGGAGUGUCUUUUGGGGUGGUUUUGUGCUAGAGAAUCACUUUGGUGGCUAAUGUAUCGGUUCAGAUUCAGGUCGGUCCGUUCCGGUCGGGUUUAGGGUGUCACAAAAUUCACAUCUCAUAAAAUUAUUUCAAAGGAAUAACUCAUCUUAUAUAUAUACUUACCAAAUAAUACAAUGUCUAAAAGCAACGUUUUUAAAUAGUUUAGAUUAUAGAAACACAAAUCGUAAAUUUCAAGCUAUUCCUCGCUGACCUUAUCUUUUCCUUUCUUUUUCAAGGAUUCCGAAACAACGUUAGCUAUGGAUUGAAAUAAUUAAAAUAAAUUAAUAAUACAAAACCCAAUUCACAUUCAAUUACAAAAUUUGUACUAUUUUUGCAUAAAGCUCGAUUUAGUCCCUAAAACUGAAACUAACUUAACUUCCACAUUUAACCUCAAAUUUUUAUACCAAUUUCACUCUAAUCUAAAUUUAGCUCCCUAUUUCUCAGUUCUACCCCAUAAUUUUGAAUUUUCAUAAUUUGGUCUCUAUUAUUUAAAAUCAACAAUUAAAAUCACAAUUGAUAAAAAAAACAAUUAACUUCAUAAUUUAGUCCUUUUUCACUUCUAACCUAAAAAUCUAUCAAAUUAAUCCCUAAAGUUUUAACUACUCAAUAAUGGUAACAACUAAAAUCUUAAGCAAUACCGAAAAAUAGUACAUAGGUCAACUAACUUUCGAGUCGUUACAAUUAACUUAAAAUGAUUAAAAAUAUUAAAGAAAAGCAACAAUAAUUAAAUUGAAAUGAGGCAGGGAUGAAAACAUCCAACAUUCAUAGAUAUAGUAAUGUUUUCAAGAUUAUAAAUAUAUAAACGGAGUAGAGUGCGCUGACUAUGGAGCAAUGGUAGAUUUAACAAUAACUACCUGCCCGCUCCAUUGUCAUUCCUAAGCAUAGAUUUAUUACUUUGUAAAUAUAUAUAUAUAAAUGUAAUUUUGAUGUUAAUUAGUAUGGUUUUCACUCAUGCUUCGUAUUGGAUUAAUUAUUAUUAUUUAAUUAAAUUAUAGAAUAAAAAAUUUAAAGGUUACAAUAAACUCAAAGUUCUUGUACUCUUUGUAUAAUUAAAAUUUAAUCUUCAUACUUCUAUUUUUAUGAAUUUAAUCUCUUUACUUUUUGAAUUUAAAAAUUUAGGUCCAUUUGGAAUAUAUAAAACAUUUAGACUAUCUAAUGGAGGUAGUAAACUAUGUCAAAAUUAAAGUAUAGAAAUUAAAUUUCAAAUUUAAGUGAAAAUAUACUAUUUUUAUAUUAUCUCAAAAAUGUAAAAAUAAAGGGAUUAAAACUGAAAUUUAACCAUUAUCUUCUCGUGUAAGAAAAAUGGAAAAAGGAUAUGUGUCAUGUAAGAAGGCCCUAAGUCACUCCAUUUAUAUGAGUAUAGAUAUUUUGAUCUGCAGAUCGUCGGUAAUCACCUUCCAGUAAGAAUCUCUUACAUUUUAAAAGGUAAACUCUCUCGCUUUUUAUUUUUUAUUUUCUUGUUCGCUUUUGCAUUCUUCGAUCUCGAGUCAGUUUUCUUUAUGUGAUCAUUUCUGUUUAUCUCUUCAUUGGUGCGUACGGAUGUUAAUUACUUUCCUAUAACAAUUUUGGAGUUUGCCCCCUUUCUUUUUAAUUAAUUAUUUUUUUGUUUAUGGAUAACAUUUAUUAUUCUCAAUUGAUUGUUCCCUGCUGUUGUUGCAUGAUUGUUAUGAUCCGGGACAUUAAAUUUUGGUUGGAAUUUCAAUUAGGGUUCAUACUAAUCAGCCCAGUUCUUGUUUGUGCCAUUUUUUCCUCCUUUUACCAGUAAUUGCGUGUUUCAUUCAUGGACACAUAAUUCUCAUGCAUAUAAAUUUGAUCAAGACUUGGCUUUUUUGUUAGGCCCCAACAUCCAGAAGGAUGAAUAAUUCCGCAAAUGGGAAUGUAAAAUAGAAAGAAAAAAAAAAGCUCGAUCUUUUUAUGAGACAAAAGUUCCCAAAUCUAGAGACAAAGUUGUUUUACUCUUGCUUUUCGGAUAUUUCAUGCUUGAAGAAAAACGCAAAUCUCUUAUCUGUCUUAACAUGAUUAUGGCAUAAUUGAAUUGAAAAUGUUGCAAAAAUAACUUCAAAAUGUAGUUAAUUUCUCGAAAUUACUUAUGGCGGCAUUGACUUGUGCACUCUCAGUCUUUAAUUAGUUUAUCUAUAUGCUGAUGGAAGUAUUUCGUACAUGUUGAGAAUUGGCAUAAAACUGUUACUAAUAUAAAGGAUUUGUGAUUCUAUGGGCAUGUUAUUUUAGAUAUUUGUUUCCAUCUCCCUUUCUUUUUCCUUUAGCUGGAUUCCUAUGUAUAAGAGUAGGUUUGAUUUUCUUUGUAAUGUGACUAGGAUAUGGUUUUAGUAUCCUUUACUACCACUUGUACGAUAUCCUUAAAUUAGACUGUUGGAUAAUUUAAUUACAAUUAAUGUUAAUCCAUUUUAUUGUGUUAAACAUACCAUUGUUUAUAUUGUAACUUGUAUCAGUUGUUGCGGCAGUACAUGCCAUGUUGCUUUUCCCUAUGAUUUUAAAUGUCGUCAUCUGAUCAAUUUUGAUUAUCUCUUCACCAGUGUACGUAGCACAGAGUUUACUUCUUAGAAAUCAAUGGGAAGAGUAUCUUCCAAUUAAAUGUUGUGUGAUUCUCUAUGGGUAUUUACUUUAUAAUUGUUGGGUUACUAUAGUGCUUGAAGCUACAUUGGUGCAGGUGUAGUUUUGUCUGGUGGAAUUCUGCGGCAGAGAUAUGUCUGGCUCGGAGUCUGAUGUUGAUGAAUAUGAUUACUCGGUUUGUUUGAUGAUUUACAAGAUGCAAAUUGGACUUAAAUUAAUUCAUUCAUAACUUAGGCAAACGUAAAAUAAGGGUUUUUUAUUUUUUAAAAUUGGGAUAAAUCUGAAAACUAUACAUCAACUUUGAACAAAUGUGCAAUGUUAUACAUAAAAUUUGAUUUUGUGCAAUUUUAUACUUGAAAUUUUCAUUUGAUUCAAUUUUCACAAAUCAUUAACACAAUUAUAAAUAAAGAGUUACCUUACAAUUAUAUAUUGCAUGUAUAAAUAAUUAUUUUUAUCUAAUAAAUAAAUAAAAUUGAUAUAAUUAUUUUUUAAAAUGUGUACAGUUGAAUCAAAAUCAAAGUUUUAAGUAUACAUUUCAACUACAAUCAAAGUUUCAUGUGUAUGAUUGCAUCAAAUCAAAGUUCAUGUAUCAAAUUGCACAUUAGGUUGAAGUUAAUGUGUAGUUUUUGAGAUUUAUCCAUUAAUUUUUUUUUUAAAAGUUUCUGUUCUAGUUUAUGGAUUGCUAGCCAGCCUAACAUAAGUUGACGGUAUUGCAGAAUAAUAAAAUAUCUGAUACUUCUGCUGCUGAAGCUAGAAGAGGAAAAGACAUCCAGGGAAGACCUUGGGAUCAGCUAAGCAUCACUAGGGAAAAAUACAGGCAAACUAGGCUAGAACAGUACAAGAACUAUGAGGAUAUCCCCCACUCUGGGGAAGUGUCAGGGAAGGUAAAAGUACUUAAAAGUUGCCCGCUUUCCUUCUAAAAUGUGCUAAAUUGAAAUUUCAGUUUGUAUGUAGGAUUGCAAGAUUACCAAGAAGGGUGCAUCAUACUAUGACUUCAGGCUAAAUUCGAGAUCUGUGAAACCACCAAUACUUCAUUUUCAGGUUAGCUGAAUGGGAAUUUUCAUUCAAGACCUGUGAUGUCAUAGAAGGAUUUGUCUUUUUCUUGUUAAAAUUCUUUCUCAUAUCUUGUAGUUGUACGGCCAGUCCUUUCCUCUUUUACUGCUUGACUGUGGUGUGAUCAUUAUUGUUAGAGAUAGACGUAUCAAUUUGUGGUGAUGCAGUUGAGGAACCUGGUAUGGGCUACAUCAAAACAUGAUGUUUAUCUCAUGUCACAAUUUUCUGUCAUGCAUUGGUCUUCAUUGACACACAAGAAGAGUAAAAUUCUUAAUGUUUCUGGGCAUGUGGCACCAUCUGAGGUCUGUGCUCUGGCAGUGAUUUGGCACUUUAUCUGACUUGUUGGUCUUCUUCCUUUUCUUUUCUUGUUAUCCCCCCAUAUUGUUUCCUCAGAUUGAUUUGCGUGUUUUUCCCUUUUAGAAACAUCCUGGAAGUCUGAUGGAAGGUUUUACGCAAACUCAAGUCAGUACUCUUGCAGUAAAGGAUAAGCUGCUAGUUGCUGGAGGAUUCCAGGGUGAACUAAUAUGUAAGGUAAGGAGAGCAACUUUUAUCCCUUCAAUCCUUCAUUGACAAAAAAGAGGUCAGAAAGAGGGAUAAGCCUUUGUGCAGUGAUUGCGGAGCUGCUUUUCCAUGCAAUAUAGCUACUUUUCAGUUUUUGCAAGUCACUUGAAGCCUAACAUUUAUAUCUUAACUGUUAUAGACAAUCUAUUGUUGGACAUAUCUGUGAUCCUGUAAGAUGGAUCUGAGUAGAAGGUUCUAUUAUGCAUUUUGGAGCUAAUGAUCUUGUGCUCAUUCUGUUCCAAACCUCAUUUACUUGUUUGUCUUGUUUUGAACUACUUACUGCUUAAAACUUUGUGAAUGACAGGUAAAAAAAUUUAUUUGGAUAGUUUCUUUUUUCCCCUUAGCUCUUGGUUGCUGUUUUCCUGAUGCCAGUUAUUUAAGAAUUAAGUAGUCGAUUUUGAUCUGUAAUGUAGCAUUUAGAUCGACCUGGAAUAAGCUUCUGCUUCAGGACAACUUAUGAUGACAAUGCCAUUACAAAUUCUGUUGAGAUUUAUGUCACUCCAAGGUAUUUCUUGUUUCCUGAUCUGCUGUUGACAUUGAUCUCAGUCAACCUGAACCUAAUUUGCUUUGUUCCUGAAUUACCAGUGGCGCAGUUCACUUUACGGCCUCAAAUAAUGACUGUGGAGUCAGAGAUUUUGAUAUGGAGAAAUAUCAGCUUUCCAAGCAUUUUCAUUUUCUUUGGCCUGUCAAUGUAAGUUACAUACAUUAGGAUUUCAUUGUUUCAGAUCUGUAAACACACACUAAUGUUAUUUUGUGUAUUAUUAAUUCUGAUUCUGUUAAUUCAAUAAAGGCAAAUGGUGAGAAAUACUUAAAAGCUAUGCUUGUAAUGUUGCUUUUGCAGCAUACUUCUCUGAGCCCUGAUGGGAAACUUCUAAUAAUAGUUGGAGACAACCCUGAUAUUAUGUUGGUAGACUCUGAUACGGGGGAGGUACUUGUCAUCCUGCUUUUGCAAUAUUGUUUACAUUUUUGGGGAUUGCAAAGCAUCAGCUGAUACUGAAAUUAAUUGCAGACUGUUAUGCCCUUGCGUGGACACUUGGACUUUUCAUUUGCGUCUGCAUGGCAUCCUGAUGGUGUCACUUUUGCAACCGGGAACCAAGACAAAACAUGCCGAAUUUGGGAUGUUCGAAACUUGUCAAAGUCAAUUGCUGUUCUAAAGGGAAACCUUGGAGCAAUACGGUCCAUUCGCUACACAUCUGAUGGUAAGUACAUGGCCAUGGCUGAGCCUGCUGACUUUGUGCAUGUGUAUGAUGUCAAAAGUGGGUACGAGAAUGAGCAAGAAAUCGAUUUCUUUGGUGAGAUAUCCGGCCUAUCCUUUAGUCCGGACACAGAGUCUCUCUUUAUUGGCGUAUGGGAUCGUACAUAUGGCAGCCUUCUUGAGUAUGGCCGCAUAUCGGACAUAUGUUAAAAAAUUAAAAAUAGUUUAAAAUAUAUAAAUUAAUUUUAAAAAGUAUGACUUUUUGGACAAGUUCGAGUACCAAUUAAGUAUUUUUUGGAUAGUAUUAACCUUUAAAAAAUUAACAUUGUUAACCAAUUGGGGUAAUGUGUGCGACGUACCAACUAAAUAUUUAACAUUGUUAACUUAAAAUAUUUAAAUAUCAACUAAAUAGUUUUAGACAAAUUCAAAAGAUAAACUACGUACUAACCAUUUACUAUAUGAAUAUAGGGUUGAGCAGAAGUUGGGACAAUAUAAUUUAACGUAUAUUCUAACAUUUUUUUUAAUUUAAGCUUAACGGAAAUAAAAUUCAGAUUUAUUUUUGACAUCUAUAUUCAUUUCAAAAUGAUUUUGUCUCAUUUAUUUUGCUUAAAUCACAAAUGGUGUUUUAAUUAUUCACUUUUUUCUAGUUUAACUUUUUUGCAGUAUCUAAAUUUUACUUCGUUCCUUAAAAUGGUACUUAAAAUAUACUAUUUUUUUCAAUUUGGUACCUAAACAUUUUCUAUUACAAGUGAUACCUAAACUAUACCCCAUUAUCUAAAGUAGUAUUUAAACUAUACUCUAUUGCUCAAAUUACCCGAACUGUUAAAAAAUUCUUCUUAUCCAAACAUGACACUUCUAAAUUAAAAACAAAUUAAAUUUAAUUAAAUUAAAACUUUUCAAUCUUUUUGCACUCUAUUCAUCCCCCACUUUUCACAUAUUUAUUUUGGUAUAAUCAUAAAAGUGUCCUCAUUCAUUUGAGUAUUCAAGUAAAGUUGUUCCAAAAAUGCCGAUUUCCAAAUUCUAAUUUAAUUGCUCGAGCAUAUAAUAUAUUUAUUUUGGUAUAAUUACUAAAAUAUCCCCAUUCAUUUGAGUCUUUUCAACAAUGUUGAUUUCAAAUUUUGAACUUAAUUUAAAUAUCUAUGAAAGAAAUCUGCUUCCACUUCUUCCAACUAUUUGUUGGUGUGGGGAACAUAUUUAUAAUUUUACUAGGAUUAUAUUAUACUCGAACUUGAAAGAAAAUUGGGAAGAAUUUUCACAGUUACUGGCAAUGCAUUUAACAACUUUUUGCAAUCUUUUCUUUCUAGAAAAAAACCCCUCCACAUACUAAAUUAAAUUACACUUUUCACUAUAAUACACUAAUUAUUUAGACAUUUUAACCUAGCUGAAGGUGUCCAAUUUUAAUAUAUAUGGGGAGCUAGAGUAUCAAGUUAGAUUUAAGAAAUAGAAGCUGGAGGAGAGAGAAAAUCAAGUAAAAGAUUGAAAUUAAUAUGACAAAGUAAGAACAUCAAGAUUUUGAUAUAUUUUUAAGUUUGAUAUUAUUGAAAAAGUAUGGAAAUGAUGUUAAUGUAAAGUUUUCGUAUAUAUGGUCCUAUGUUCUUGAUAUGUUAGUGAAGAGAAAAUAAGAGAAAGUGAUGAGAAAUAGUGUAGAGAAAUAAAAUAAGGGUGUUAUAAACAUGGUAAUAAACAUCUUGCACUAAAGUAGUUUUGGACAGCAACAGUAGGUUAACUUUGAAAAAUCACCAUAAAUUAUGGGAAUCGAAUUCGAGGAUGAAAAAAAUAUGGAAUUAAAUAUUAUUAAGUCUAGUUUCUCAUAGAAGAAACGGUGUUGUUCAAGUAACGUCAGGAAGAGCAACUACUGGAGGAGUGGUACGGGAUGGUACUGGUGAUUGGGUGAUUGGUUAUAAUAGAUUCCUAGGGAAUUGUUCGAUUUUUGACGCGGAACUUUGGGGCAUUUUGGAUGGCUUAAAACUCUUCCAACGUAGAGGUCAUAGCAGUGUAGUUGUUCACUUUGAUAGCUUGGAGGUAGUAAAAGCUAUUCAUGGCAAUAUUUCGAAGAUCUCAAACUCUACCCUGAUCAAAAGAAUACAUAGUAUUUUGUCCCAAGAAAGUCAAUGGAUUUAAGAUAUAUGUAAUGGCCCAAAUUUGAGGUUAUCGGAACAGUGGUUUCGGAACCACAAAUUCGAUGAGAAAAAUUUUAUUUUUCUUAUAUUUUUAUGGUCUAAAAUUUCACAAAAUGAUUUUUUUGAAAAUUUCGUUCGAAAAUUUCGACGUUUGGGCACUCAAUUUAGUCAAAAGGACUAAAUUGUAAAAAGUGCAAAAGUUGAGUUCUACAUGUUAGAGGUGUCCAAUUGUUAUGAAACUUUAAAUUGGAGGUCCUUAUAUGGUAAUUAUAUCAUUGGUAACUUGGUAGACAAAAAUAGACAUGAGAUAAGUGAAAUAGAAAAUUUUUAAGUUAGGGGCAAUUUGGUAAUCUAGUAAUUAAAAUGAAUUAAAAGGGAAAAAGAUGGCAAAAAUCAUCAUCUUCUUCAUAUGAACGAAAUCAGCAAGGGGGGAAGCCAUAGUUAGGGUUUUCAAGCUUCCAAGCUCCAUAGUAAGUGAUCCCAAGCCCCGUUUUUAAUGUUCUUUACGUUUUUGAGAUCCCGGUAGCUUAAUUUAGCUUAUUCUAGCAAUAAUUUAACCUAGGGUUUAUAUUUGGAAAAAUACCCAUAGGUGAAAAGUGUUUAUUUUGAUGUUUUAUGAUAGAAAAUGAAGCUAUAAAUUAUGUUAAACAACUUUUGCUAAGCGAUUUUAAGUGAAAACGAGUAAAACGACAUAAUCGGUAAAAAUACCUAAUGUUCAUAAGUACAUGUUAGAGUGGGAAUUUGAUGUUGCCAUAGAAGGGAAAAAUGUUCAGAAUGUUAUAAAACAUAAGAAUAAGAGAUGAAGUUUAAUUUCCGAGCCUUGGGGAAAAAAUGUAAUUAUGUAAAAGUUUAGGGGCAAAAUUGUAAUUUUUAAAAAGUUAGAGUCGAGGGCUGUUUUGAUGAAUGUGAUUAUUAAAUAAGUUAAAUUUACUAUUUUAGAUCAAGAAGUACGAAACUCGAGGUUAGACAAAAGGAAGAAUAAAGUUGAAGACUAAGUUGGUGAAUUUGGCUAUAAUUGGUACCGAGAUAAGUUUACGGUAAAUAAAUGUAAUAUUUCAAUAUUUAUUAUUAAUGUUGUUAAUUUCCAGCAAUUAUGAAUUUCUUUUAUGAAUUUAUUUGAUGAUGAUCCAAGCAUGAAAUGAUAGAGAAUUAAAAUUUAAAAGUCCCGUUGAUACAUAAGGAUGGUACUGGAUACGAAUGUCAUGACAUUUGGGUAAAGAGAUCCCAUGUAAGACCAUGUCUGGGACAUGGCAUUGGCAUCCUUAAGAUCAUGAGAGGUCCCCUGUAAGACCAUGUCUGGGACAUGGCAUGGGCACCGAGACGAGAGGUCCCAUGUAAGACCAUGUCUGGGACAUGGCGUUGGCACCGAGAUGAGAGGUCCCCUAUAAGACCAUGUCUGGGACAUGGCAUGGGCACCAUCACGAGAACAUCCCAUGUAAGACCAUGUCUGGGACAUGGCUUUGGCAUGUUAUUAUCAGAAGAGACCCGAGUAUCCUUAUUAUUCCAAUGUAGCUCAACGGGCUUGUAAACGAAUCAUGUUCAUGAAAGUUCAGUUUAAAGCAUAAAUGGCAAGCUCAGGUAAGUUGUAAGACUUAAGAACUUAUUAUACUAUCAAUUGAUGUUCAACGAUGCAGCAAGGAUUGAGUAAGUUAUGCACACAAGUAUUCUAAGUAAACAAGUAAGAGAACUAGUAUGAGAUUAACUAAAGAGUAAACUAGAGAUAUAGACAUUGAGUUUAAUUAUUUAAGUUAAAUAUUGUUAUUUAUUUGCUAGUAAACUUACUAAGCUUUAUGCUUACUUCUUUUAUUUCUCUUUCUCUUAUAGUAUUGCAAAGCUACUUCAAGGAUCCUAAAGAAGUCGGAGAUCGUCCACACUAUCAACUACAACUGCUCGGUAUUUUAUAUCGAAACACGUUUGAGUUAUGGCAUGUAUAGGGAUUUAGUUAUUUUGUAUGUUUGUAAUGAUGAUUUUGCUAAUGAGUGAUGUGUAAGUAUUUGAUGAUGUAUGGUUAUUAAAAUGAUUAAGGAUGAAGGUGUUUGUUGUUAUGAAAGAUUAGGUGAUAAAUUAUGCAUAGAAAUCAUGAAAGGAUAAAAUUUUGCAAAGAAACAGAAUUCAGGCAGCACAGUGACGUGAAUUUGAAAAAUCACCCAAGAUAGUAUAAAAUGAAUUAGAGGGUGAAUGAUAUAUGGAAUUAAAGCUUGUUGAGUCUAUUUUCAUGGAAAAAUAACGGUGUAGAAAAAGGAAAUUUAUAUUUUAAGAUAUGUGAAUUUUAGUAAGAUAAGGUCAGAACUGUUUUUGGAGUCCCUUGUUCUGAGUUUAGAAAAUAAUUAAAAAUUGUACAAAAAUGGUUAUGAGUUGAAAUUUACAUGCUUAGAUUUCUUAAUGAGUCUAUUUUCUGUAGAAACAAGUAAGAACUUCAUAUGAAAAUCCUACAGUGAGAAAACUUAUUUUUAGUGACUAGAGGUCAGGGCAGUCAGGUGGUGAAACAGGAGAGACUUUAACUAAUAAACUGUACUAAUUUGCUGAACCAAAAAUUCUAAAAAUUUUAUGGUGAGUAGAUAUAUGAGUCUAGUUUCAGGGAAAAUUUACGGAAUUAAAUUUCGAGUUCUGUAGCUCAAGUUAUAAUUAAUUUAGUAACUGCUGCGCGAUUGGACAGAUUUGCUGUGAAUAAUGAAAUAAAUUUUCAAACCUAGUUUUUAUGCUCCGAAUUGGUAAGAUAAGCUAAGUAAUGCCUCGUGCUCGACUCCGGAAACGGUCUCGGGUAAGGGGUGUUACAUUUUAUUGGUAUCAGAGCAGGUUUAGUCGGUUCUCGGAAAUACUCAGUAAGAAUAAGAGUCUACCUAUACAUGCCAUACUUAUAUAUUUUGAUAGUGUGACGACUCCUGACGAUUUUAAAAUGUUUUCUUUUAUAGUUAUGGAUCCUGAACGAGCUAGUACAGAUGAAGUAGAGAGUAAUGCGCCUAUUCCCGCAGAAGGGACGGUGCCAUCAGAUGUUAAUGUUAGUGAAAGACCUGCAUCAGAUAGACAAGGAGGAGGAGCUAGAGAAGCCUUCUUCCAAGCCAUGACUGAUUGGUUUGCCGAGUUCGUUCGUACGAAUCCGGCUGUAAGACCUCCACCCCCUCAAGAUUCACAGGUUCCCCAUGUAGCUUCCCCAGCUACAGGUAUAUUUAUCAGGGAGAGACCACCUGUUGAUAAGAUUAGGAAGCAAGGGGCUGAAGAAUUUCGGGCUACCAAAGAUGACGAUGCAGAAAAAGCAGAAUUCUGGCUUGAGAAUACCAUCAGGGUUUUUGAAGAAUUAUCUUGUACACCGGAAGAAUGUAUGAAGUGUGUGGUCUCACUUCUCAGAGAUUCCGCUUAUCAUUGGUGGAAGACAAAAAUAUGUUGUGUUGAAAUGCCAGAAUGGAGAAUUACUUUGGGUUAAAUCUAAUCAGACAAAAGGGAUUAUCCGAUAUGAUUUCAGUUAUGACAGCUCAGAGGUGUGUUAGAAAAGGGUAUGAUGUUUAUUUGGCGUAUGUGUUGGAUACUAAGGUAUCUGAGUCAAAGAUACAGGCAGUGCCAGUUGUAUGUGAAUUUUCUGAUGUAUUUCCAGAGGAGUUACCAGGGUUGCCACCAGAAAGAGAAGUGGAAUUUUCUAUAGAUCUGAUUCCGGGAACUGCCCCAAUUUCCAUAGCUCCGUAUCGUAUGGCUCCUACAGAAUUAAAAGAGUUAAAGGCACAGUUACAGGAACUUGUUGACAGAGGUUUUGUUCGUCCGAGUCAUUCACCUUGGGGUGCUCCAAUUCUGUUUGUAAAAAAGAAAGACGGGUCUUUGAGAUUGUGUAUUGACUAUCGGCAGCUUAAUAAGGUAACUAUAAAGAAUAAGUACCCAUUGCCUCGAAUUGAUGACUUAUUUGAUCAACUGAAAGGUGCCACAGUAUUUUCAAAGAUUGAUCUCCGAUCGGGUUAUUAUCAGUUACGGGUAAAAGAGCCAGAUGUGCCAAAGACAGCUUUCAGAACCAGGUAUGGGCAUUAUGAGUUUCUGGUUAUGCCGUUUGGACUGACUAAUGCACCUGCAGUAUUCAUGGAUUUGAUGAACCGGAUAUUCAGACCGUAUCUAGAUAGGUUUGUAGUAGUUUUCAUUGAUGACAUUCUAGUUUAUUCACGAGAUGAAAAUGAGCAUGCAAAACAUUUGAGAAUAGUGUUGCAAAUUCUGCGUGAAAAGAAGCUUUAUGCUAAAUUCAGUAAAUGUGAAUUUUGGCUUCGAGAGUUAGGUUUUCUCGGACAUAUUGUAUCCACAGAAGGCAUCAGGGUAGAUCCGAGUAAAAUUUCAGCUAUUGUUGAUUGGAGUCCACCGAAGAAUGUAUCUGAAGUUAGAAGUUUCUUGGGUUUAGCUGGUUAUUAUCGGAGAUUUGUACAAGGGUUUUCUAUGAUAGCUUCUCCAAUGACCCGUUUAUUACAGAAAGAUGUUAAAUUUGAAUGGACAGAAAAAUGCCAGCAAAGUUUCGACCGAUUGAAGGAGUUGUUAACGAAAGCACCUGUGUUGGUACAGCCUGAAUCGGGUAAGGAAUUUAUUAUUUAUAGUGAUGCAUCAUUAAAUGGUUUGGGUUGUGUCUUGAUGCAAGAAGAUAAAGUAAUAGCCUAUGCUUCAAGACAACUUAAGCCACAUGAAAGAAACUACCCGGUACAUGAUCUCGAGUUAGCUGCUAUUGUAUUUGCAUUGAAAAUAUGGCGGCAUUAUUUGUAUGGUGAAAAGUGUCAUAUUUAUACUGAUCACAAAAGCUUGAAAUAUUUGAUGACACAGAAAUAUUUGAAUUUGAGACAACGCAGGUGGCUUGAAUUGAUAAAGGAUUAUGAUUUGGUUAUUGAUUACCAUCCGGGUAAGGCAAACGUGGUAGUUGAUGCUUUGAGCCGAAAAUCUCUGUUUGUUUUAAGAGCUAUGAAUACCCGGUUGUCACUGUCUAAUGAUGGUUCAAUCAUAGCUGAAUUGAGAGCUAAAUUGACAUUUCGUCAACAAAUAUGUGAAGCUCAGAGGAAUGAUGAGAAAUUACAGGCUAAACGGGUGCAUUGUGAGUCAGGUAAUGAUUCAGAAUUUCAGAUUGGAACUGAUGGUUGUUUAUUAUUCAGAGGCAGAGUAUGUGUACCGAAGAAUUCAGAACUUGUACAGAAGAUUUUACACGAAGCACACAGUGGUAUUAUGUCCGUACAUCCGGGAGGUAAUAAAAUGUAUAAUGACUUGAAAAAGAUGUAUUGGUGGCCGAGUAUGAAACGUGAUAUCUCUGAGUUUGUAUCAAGAUGUUUAGUAUGUCAGCAGGUUAAGGCUGAACAUCAGGUACCUUCGGGGUUGCUUCAGCCAAUCACUAUACCGGAAUGGAAAUGGGAAAGAAUCACUAUGGAUUUUGUAUCUGGGUUACCGUUAUCUCCGAGGAAGAAAGAUGCCAUUUGGGUAAUUGUCGACCGAUUGACAAAGUCCGCGCACUUUAUCCCAGUAUGUAUGGAUUAUUCUUUAGAUAAAUUGGUUGGAUUGUAUAUAUCUGAGAUUGUUAGACUACAUGGAGUGCCUGUCUCCAUUAUAUCAGACAGAGAUCCCCGAUUUACGUCUCGUUUCUGGAACAAAUUGCAAGAAGCUUUGGGUACUCAGUUGUAUUUCAGUACUGCAUUUCAUCCUCAGACAGAUGGCCAAUCUGAGCGUGUAAUUCAGGUAUUGGAAGAUAUGCUCCGAUGUUGUGUAUUAGAGUUUCAAGGUAAUUGGGAAAGGUAUCUACCUUUGGUUGAAUUUGCUUACAAUAACAGUUAUCAAUGCUGUAUUAAAAUGGCUCCGUAUGAAUCUUUGUAUGGUAGAAAAUGUAGAAUACCAUUAUAUUGGACAGAGCUUAGUGAAAAGAAGAUACACGGGGUUGAUUUAAUCCGGGAAACAGAAGAAAAAGUAAGGCUGAUUCGAAAUAGUCUAAAAGCAGCUUCCGACCGUCAGAAGUCAUAUGCCGAUCUUAAACGAAGGGAGAUUGAAUUUCAGGUGGGUGAUAAAGUAUUCUUAAAAGUGUCUCCUUGGAAGAAAGUUCUCCGGUUCGGUUGAAAGGGUAAAUUGAGUGCAAGAUUUAUCGGACCAUAUGAAAUCAUAGAAAGAAUUGGACCGGUUGCUUAUCGAUUGGCUUUACCACCGGAACUCGACAGAAUCCAUAAUGUUUUUCAUGUAUCUAUGUUACGACGGUAUCGGUCAGAUCCUUCACAUGUUAUUACUCCUACAGAAGUGGAGAUUCAGCCGGAUAUGACUUAUAAUGAAGAACCAGUUAAGAUAUUAGCACGGGAAACUAAGGAGCUUAGAAACAAAAAGAUAAAUCUGGUGAAAGUGUUAUGGCAAAAGCACGGGAUUGAGGAAGCGACAUGGGAACCGGAAGAGACAAUGAGGAAACAGUACCCAAACCUCUUUACUGGUAAGAUUUUCGAGGACGAAAAUCCUAAAAGGGGGGAGAGUUGUAAUGGCCCAAAUUUGAGGUUAUCGGAACAAUGGUUUCGGAACCACAAAUCCGAUGAGAAAAAUUUUAUUUUUCUUAUAUUUUUAUGGUCUACAAUUUCACAAAAUGAUUUUCUUGAAAAUUUCGUUCGAAAAUUUCGACGUUUGGGCACUCAAUUUAGUCAAAAGGACUAAAUUGUAAAAAGUGCAAAAGUUGAGUUCUACAUGUUAGAGGUGUCCAAUUGUUAUGAAACUUUAAAUUGGAGGUCCUUAUAUGGUAAUUAUAUCAUUGGUAACUUGGUAGACAAAAAUGGACAUGAGAUAAGUGAAAUAGAAAAUUUUUAAGUUAGGGGCAAUUUGGUAAUCUAGUAAUUAAAAUGAAUUAAAAGGGAAAAAGAUGGCAAAAAUCAUCUUCUUCAUAUGAACGAAAUCAGCAAGGGGGGAAGCCAUAGUUAGGGUUUUCAAGCUUCCAAGCUCCAUAGUAAGUGAUCCCAAGCCCCAUUUUUAAUGUUCUUUACGUUUUUGAGAUCCCGGUAGCUUAAUUUAGCUUAUUCUAGCAAUAAUUUAACCUAGGGUUUAUAUUUGGAAAAAUACCCAUAGGUGAAAAGUGUUUAUUUUGAUGUUUUAUGAUAGAAAAUAAAGCUAUAAAUUAUGUUAAACAACUUUUGCUAAGCGAUUUUAAGUGAAAACGAGUAAAACGACAUAAUCGGUAAAAAUACCUAAUGUUCAUAAGUACAUGUUAGAGUGGGAAUUUGAUGUUGCCAUAGAAGGGAAAAAUGUUCAGAAUGUUAUAAAACAUAAGAAUAAGAGAUGAAGUUUAAUUUCCGAGCCUUGGGGCAAAAAUGUAAUUAUGUAAAAGUUUAGGGGCAAAAUUGUAAUUUUGAAAAAGUUAGAGUCGAGGGCUGUUUUGAUGAAUGUGAUUAUUAAAUAAGUUAAAUUUACUAUUUUAGAUCAAGAAGUACGAAACUCGAGGUUAGACAAAAGGAAGAAUAAAGUUGAAGACUAAGUUGGUGAAUUUGGCUAUAAUUGGUACCGAGGUAAGUUUACGGUAAAUAAAUGUAAUAUUUCAAUAUUUAUUAUUAAUGCUGUUAAUUUCCAGCAAUUAUGAAUUUAUUUUAUGAAUUUAUUUGAUGAUGAUCCAAGCAUGAAAUGAUAGAGAAUUAAAAUUUAAAAGUCCCGUUGAUACAUAAGGAUGGUACUGGAUACGAAUGUCAUGACAUUUGGGUAAAGAGAUCCCAUGUAAGACCAUGUCUGGGACAUGGCAUUGACAUCCUUAAGAUCAUGAGAGGUCCCCUGUAAGACCAUGUCUGGGACAUGGCAUGGGCACCGAGACGAGAGGUCCCAUGUAAGACCAUGUCUGGGACAUGGCGUUGGCACCGAGAUGAGAGGUCCCCUAUAAGACCAUGUCUGGGACAUGGCAUGGGCACCAUCACGAGAACAUCCCAUGUAAGACCAUGUCUGGGACAUGGCUUUGGCAUGUUAUUAUCAGAAGAGACCCGAGUAUCCUUAUUAUUCCAAUGUAGCUCAACGGGCUUGUAAACGAAUCAUGUUCAUGAAAGUUCAGUUUAAAGCAUAAAUGGCAAGCUCAGGUAAGUUGUAAGACUUAAGAACUUAUUAUACUAUCAAUUGAUGUUCAACGAUGCAGCAAGGAUUGAGUAAGUUAUGCACACAAGUAUUCUAAGUAAACAAGUAAGAGAACUAGUAUGAGAUUAACUAAAGAGUAAACUAGAGAUAUAGACAUUGAGUUUAAUUAUUUAAGUUAAAUAUUGUUAUUUAUUUGCUAGUAAACUUACUAAGCUUUAUGCUUACUUCUUUUAUUUCUCUUUCUCUUAUAGUAUUGCAAAGCUACUUCAAGGAUCCUAAAGAAGUCGGAGAUCGUCCACACUAUCAACUACAACUGCUCGGUAUUUUAUAUCGAAACACGUUUGAGUUAUGGCAUGUAUAGGGAUUUAGUUAUUUUGUAUGUUUGUAAUGAUGAUUUUGCUAAUGAGUGAUGUGUAAGUAUUUGAUGAUGUAUGGUUAUUAAAAUGAUUAAGGAUGAAGGUGUUUGUUGUUAUGAAAGAUUAGGUGAUAAAUUAUGCAUGGAAAUCAUGAAAGGAUAAAAUUUUGCAAAGAAACAGAAUUCAGGCAGCACAGUGACGUGAAUUUGAAAAUCACCCAAGAUAGUAUAAAAUGAAUUAGAGGGUGAAUGAUAUAUGGAAUUAAAGCUUGUUGAGUCUAUUUUCAUGGAAAAAUAACGGUGUAGAAAAAGGAAAUUUAUAUUUUAUGAUAUGUGAAUUUUAGUAAGAUAGGGUCAGAACUGUUUUUGGAGUCCCCUGUUCUGAGUUUAGAAAAUAAUUAAAAAUUGUACAAAAAUGGUUAUGAGUUGAAAUUUACAUGCUUAGAUUUAUUAAUGAGUCUAUUUUCUGUAGAAACAAGUAAGAACUUCAUAUGAAAAUCCUACAGUGAGAAAACUUAUUUUUAGUGACUAGAGGUCAGGGCAGUCAGGUGGUGAAACAGGGGAGACUUUAACUAAUAAACUGUACUAAUUUGCUGAACCAAAAAUUCUAAAAAUUUUAUGGUGAGUAGAUAUAUGAGUCUAGUUUCAGGGAAAAUUUACGGAAUUAAAUUUCGAGUUCUGUAGCUCAAGUUAUAAUUAAUUUAGUAACUGCUGCGCGAUUGGACAGAUUUGCUGCGAAUAAUGAAAUAAAUUUUCAAACCUAGUUUUUAUGCUCCGAAUUGGUAAGAUAAGCUAAGUAAUGCCUCGUGCUCGACUCCGGAAACGGUCUCGGGUAAGGGGUGUUACAAUAUAUCCCAGGGAGGAGAAUCAAUGUGCUGACUAUCUUGCCAAAUUGGCCUUUGAAAGGAAAAAGGAUUUACAACUGGUUGAAACCCUCCAGAUGCAGUGUUAGAUUUCCUUAAUUGAAAUAAAGAAAGGAAUUUUUAUACCUCUCGAAUAUUUCAUGUAAUUUAAUUUUGUUAUGCUUCUUUUCACAAAAAAAAAUUGGAUCGUUUAGUUUUAAGUGGUAAAAUGACUAAAAUACCCUUAAGGUUAAAUCCUUACAAAUAGUUUUAAAAUGGUUCACAAAUCGCUUCCGCAAUAAGAUUAGAAAGUUAUUAGUUAGAAUUGAGGUGUUAUAAGGUUGGAGUGUCUUUUGGGGUGGUUUUGUGCUAGAGAAUCACUUUGGUGGCUAAUGUAUCACUUCAGAUUCGGGUCGGUCCGUUCCGGUCGGGUUUAGGGUGUCACAAAAUUCACAUCUCAUAAAAUUAUUUCAAAGGAAUAAUUAAUCUUAUAUAUAUACUUACCAAAUAAUACAAUGUAUAAAAGCAACGUUUUUAAAUAGUUUAGAUUAUAGAAACACAAAUCGUAAAUUUCAAGUUAUUCCUCGUUGACCUUAUCUUUUCCUUUCUUUUUCAAGUAUUCCGAAACAACGUUAGCUAUGGAUUGAAAUAAUUAAAAUAAAUUAACAAUACAAAACCCAAUUCACAUUCAAUUACAAAAUUUGUACUAUUUUUGCAUAAAGCUCGAUUUAGUCCCUAAAACUGAAACUAACUUAACUUCCACAUUUAACCUCAAAUUUUUAUACCAAUUUCACUCUAAUCUAAAUUUAGCUCCCUAUUUCUCAGUUCUACCCCAUAAUUUUGAAUUUUCAUAAUUUGGUCUCUAUUAUUUAAAAUCAACAAUUAACUUCACAAUUGAUAAAAAAACAAUUAACUUCAUAAUUUAGUCCUUUUUCACUUCUAACCUAAAAAUCUAUCAAAUUAAUCCCUAAAGUUUUAACUACUCAAUAAUGAUAGCAACUAAAAUCUUAAGCAGUACCGAAAAAUAGUACAUAGGUCAACUAACUCGAAGUACCGAGAUUUCAAAAAUAUAAAAAUUACAAGGAAAUGACUAAAUUGAGCAUACCAAUUUUUGAGCUUGGAUAAUGAAGUCCUUAGCCGUUCGUCAUUUCCUUCUUCCUAAGGGGUUUCGAAAUUUGCAUGUGAAAAGAGAAGAACAUUUUCUCUUUUAUCAUUUUCUUUUUAAUUUCAUUCUGUUUUCAAUUUAUAAAUUAAACCUUAAUUUGACUAAAGCUUUUAAAAAUAAAAUACAUAUAUAUCGGCCACACAAAUCUAUACAUAUAAUUAUGGUUUAUUCACUUAAUAAGUCCCCUAAUCAUAAUUUGAUUCCUAAUUUCAUUAUAGUUCAACUUCUAACACUUAAUCAAUUUAGUCCUUAUAUUUAUUUGAAGCACCAAUUCGAUAAAAUUUCUUAACCAAAAUUUGAUUUGUCUCUAAUAUAACUCCGUAAAUAUUUAAUAAAAAUAUUUAUGAGUCUAGUUUACGGAAACGAGGUCCCAAAAUCACACUUUCCGUUACCCCUAACUUUCGAGUCGUUACAAUUAACUUAAAAUGAUUAAAAAUAUUAAAGAAAAGCAACAAUAAUUAAAUUGAAAUGAGGCGGGGAUGAAAACAUCCAACAUUCAUAGAUAUAGUAAUGUUUUCAAGAUUAUAAAUAUAUAGUAAAGCGGGCUGAUUGACGGAGUAGAGUGCGCUGACUAUGGAGCAAUGAUAGAUUUAACAAUAAUUACCUGCCAGCUCCAUUGUCAUUCCUAAGUAUGGAUUUAUUACUUUGUAAAAAAAGAAAUCACUUUAGUUAGUUUCAACAGAGUUGGUGUAUAGUUAAGUAUGUAUAUAUAUAUAAAUGUAAUUUUGAUGUUAAUUAGUAUGGUUUCCACUCAUGCUUCGCAUUGGAUUAAUUAUUAUUAUUUGAUUAAAUUAUAGAGUAAAAAAUUUAAAGGUAACAAUAAACUCAAAGUUCUUGUACUCUUUGUAUAUUUAAAAUUUAAUCUUCAUACUUCUAUUUUUAGGAAUUUAAUCUCUUUACUUUUUGAAUUUAAAAAUUUAGGUCCAUUCGGAAUAUAUAAAACAUUUAGACUAUCUAAUGGAGGUAGUAAACUAUGCCAAAAUUAAAGUACAGAAAUUAAAUUUCAAAUUUAAGUGAAAAUAUACUAUUUCUAUAUUAUCUCAAAAAUGUAAAAAUAAAGGGAUUAAAACUGACAGCUUGUUUGGUUUGGUGUAUUGGUUAAGCCAAUACACCCUUAAUCGGUGGGCCCCACCUAAUACCUCUCUAACACGUCGUUUGGUUUGAUGUAUUGGUAAUACGCAUCUAAUCCAUUACCUUCUUAAUCGGUGAAAACCACCGAUUUCUAUUCCCCCCUCUUUGCCCAGAUUAGCUACCGAUUGAGCAUCACCUCCCUGAUUUGCCCUCCCCCCAUCCCCUUGUUUCUCUUCUGUUCGUUCAUCCGAUUUCCUUCCUUAUUUCUUUGCUUUUGUUUUCUUCCGAUUUCCUCCCAGUCCAUUAUGCCUCUUUGCUGCCGAUUUGUUCCCUCCGUUUCCUUUCUUUUCUUUUUCGCUCUGCCACUCUUUCGAUUGCCUUCUCAACCAGUCGACCUUCUUCUUCUCAACCAGUGAAACCAAAAAAGCCGACGAUAUCCCCACUGUCACCGUAGCAUCGCUGGUUCUAUCGUCGACAACGCUCAGUCUCUCGAGCUCGCCACUCGAGUAAUGGAAAAUCCCUCUGUUUCUCUUCACUCUUUCUACCCUAUGUUACAAAUUUUCAUUUAAUUUCUCCUUUUUCUUUCAGUUGGCAAGUCAAAUUGCUCAUGCUGCUACUAUUUUUCGGAUCAAUGAGUUUUUUUUAACCUAAUUUCUUAUUUGUUUAAUGGUCUAAUUAUUGUUUUAGGCCAUCUAUUAUGCUGAAAUUUGGGAUGUUGCCUCCACUUGAUGCUCCACAUCAUCUGCGUAAGCAUGAGUGGGCUCCCUACCGGGAAGGUAAAGUUUGGCUGCUGCCUUUUGUGAUUGUUAUAGGUUUCUUACUAGGUCUAUAAUUGUUAAAAGGUGAAUUGUAGGAAGGAUAGAUGCGGACAGAUAAAUUGGAUUAUUUUUACUUUUUUGUUGAAUUAUUUUCACUCUUGAAUUAUAAACUUCAUCUUGUUUCCUUGUUCUUGCUGGUAAUUCACAAUUAGUUCUUGUGUAGCCCUGUAUAUGGUUGCUGUAGAAAGACAAAGACAGAACAGAGAUCAAAUGAUGGCAGAAAGUUUAAAGGCCAUGGAAUCAGAAGGUAGUGGUGAGCGAGUUUGAGCAUUGACAUGUUUAAAUGUUCAUAGGUUACUUAUAACAAACUUGCUAAUGAGCUUCCCCAACACUUCCUUGUGUUCUUACCUUUUGUGUGGAAGUCUUGUGAUGUGUGGGUUGCAAAGAUUUUUUUUCACCUAUGGUAAAUGGUAAUAAUUUGUUUGUUGUUGAGUUUCGAUGGAUGAAUAUCUAAGACUGAUGAUGAAUGUUCCGCUUUGAGAACGAAAAAUAAAUGAUCAUCUGCCCCCUUUGUUGGGCUAUCGAUCUUUUGCAUCUUGGUAUUGCAUAGAAUUGUUAGAAACUCUCAAAGAAUACAAACUCGUAAUGUGGCAAUGAAAAUAAAAACCAGUAUCUUUUGAGAUGAUCCUAUCUCACUGUCUGUAUUCAUUUGAGCUCGUUCUUAGCCACAGCCUCAAACCAUUAGUAAAUGCCAGAACUGUGUCCUACAGUCCCCCAUGGAUGAAGUUGUCUUCCUCCUAGGAGAGUUUAAUAUAUUUACUAUUUACCAUUUUCAUAUGUUUGGAAUGUAAGAAAAUACAAUGCAAGCUCAUGCAAAUAUAAUAUUUAUGCAAUUAACAACCACAAAUUAGGAGAAUCAAUUGUAAUAAACUUCAUGAAAUCCUUUUCUUUGUUUACAAUUCGUGCUACUACCUACAUGUUAGAAUCUGUGAAUCUGUGAACCUAUGAAUCUCGUUUCUUUGGUGAGGAUGAACCAGAGGGGAAUCCAAAGAAAACCGUGAGCUUAUAAGGAAUAUAAUUCAAGCACUUCGCAUAUGAUUUCCUCAUGCAUUCAGUUAUGCAAAGCCCAAAUAUUAUUAAUAUUUCACUUUGUUGUUCUCUUCUCCGUAUACCUGCAGUUAUUAUUAGACAAUUACUGUGCUAUUGUGUCAUUCUCUUAUAACAGACACAGUCACAUAGAUGAUCUUUGUAAGUCAUCCUUCUGAAAUCUAGAGAUAGUCAAAUGGGAAAGAGUCGUAGGCAGUCUAAGAAGAGGUGUACAAAACCGACUCAGAGUUUCAUUAGAAACUGCCAAUGGUGCGUCUGGAUUUAACCUUAGCUACUGGUUGCAACUCUAUGUCAUUGAAUGUACUAUUGCGGGGUUCAUGCGUAUCAAUCAAAUGGUGGUAAUCUUCCUCGACUGAUGUUAUUGUGUUUGUAUCUGUCAUUAUGAUUGAGCAUGUUUCUGUGUCUAUGUUACCGUUGCAAUGGGAACUAACCAAAACUUGGAUUAUGGUAAUAAAAUUGUUCUUAUACUAUUUCAUGUUUCAUGUUUCAUUGUUAUGUAAUUGUUUUUCUGAAUUGUUUUUCUGAAUUUAGCUGAUUGCAUUGAUUGUUUUAAUUCAUAGGAUCAGUGAUGGACAUCAUUCAGCUUCAUUGUUUAGUUUCUGGCAUUGGUGCUCAUGACAUAGGCAGAGUAAGUAGAGAUUCCCUUCUGCUGAAAACGAGGAACAAGUAAGCUUUUGAUUUCUUCUGCUGAAUGCUUGCUUUAUAUUGUAGUUGAACUAAGAUCUUGAGGCAGUACUGCAACUUGUCAACAAAUAUGUCUUCUGGUUUUUGGUGCUUUAGAGGAAACAUGUGCUCUUGGCAAUUUAGCCUUCCUGGAGAGGUAAAUUACUUUUGAUUCAUUGUGAUUUUUUAGCAACCUUACCUCAUGGCCUUCUAUUUCCUGAUUUAUCAAUGCAUCAUAUAAAUCCAGAAUUGGCAGAGAUUGCUUUUUCCCUUAACUUGUGGAAUGGACACAUGAAGUUGGAGGUUAUUUUCAAUGGCAACUUUAGACAGUAUUCGUUUUCCUGCUAGAUUGGUGAGCUAUUUUGUUUGAAGUGAAGAAUCGGUUUCAUGGAAGGCCAAUUGGAGUUGAGAGCAAGGUGAAAGAGAUAUUGUAUCAGCUUGAAUUUCUUCUAUUGAAUGCUUGCUUUAUAUUUUUAGUUGAAGUGAGAUAUUGAGGCAGUACUUCUGUUUAAUUCAGAAUUGUUGUAAAUUCAAUCGAGUUCUUGAUGAUAAUUCGAUAUGGUUAUGUUUUUUUUUUAUUUUUUAGAGUUCAAUUCUUACUUAUUAAAUUUUAUUAGUUAUAAUUAUUUUAAAUUUUAUUAAAUCAUAUAUUUUAAUUAAAAUAUAUUUAAUAUUAAUUAUUUCAAAUUAUCUUUUAUAGUAUCAUAUAAUAUAUUAUGAUUUGAGUAAAUUCAUAUAAGAAUAUUAAUUAUUAAGAAUUUUAUUAAAUUAUAUAUUUUAAGUAUAAUAUAUUUAAUAAUAAUUAUGUUUAAAUAUGAUUAAAUUAUUUAUUAUUCAUAUUAAUAAUCUUAUCAAAAUUUAAAUAACAAUAACAAUAAUAAUUUACCAAAACAAAUUUCUGGUAAUUAUUAAGAAUUUUAUUAAAUUAUAUAUUUUAAUUAAAAUAUGUUUAAUAAUAAUUAUGUUUAAAUAUAAUUAAAAUAUUUAUUAUUGAUAAUAAUAAUCUUAUUAAAAUUUAAAUAACAAUAACAAUAAUCAUUUACCAAAAUAAAUUUAUGCUAAGAGUAUUCUAGUCAUUUUAAUUUUUUCCACUAUGCUAUUACACCUCUAUUCCAUUCAACCAAACACAAGAUUACUAUUACGCAUCUAUUCCAUUACAUUCAACCAAACAGUUAAUUUACUAUUACACCUCUAAUCUAAUACACUUCUAAUCCAAUACACCUCUAAUCCAAUUCAGCGAACUAAACUAAACGCACUCUGAUAUUUAACCAUUAUCUUAUGUAAGAAGGCCCUAAGUCAUUCCAUUUAUACGAGUAUAGAUAUUUUGAUCUGCAGAUCGUCGGUAAUCACCUUCCCGUAAGAAUCUCUUACAUUUUAAAAGGUAAACUCUCUCGCUUUUUAUUUUUUAUUUUCUUGAUCGCUUUCGCAUUCUUCGAUCUCGAGUCAGUUUUCUUUAUGUGAUCAUUUCUGUUUAUCUCUUCAUUGGUGCGUACGGAUGUUAAUUACUUUCCUAUAACAAUUUCGGAGUUUGCCCCCGUUCUUUUUAAUUAAUUGUUUUUUUGUUGAUGGAUAACAUUUAUUAUUCUCAAUUGAUUGUUCCCUGCUGUUGUUGCAUGAUUGUUAUGAUCCGGGACAUUAAAUUUUGGUUGGAAUUUCAAUUAGGGUUCAUACUAAUCAGCCCAGUUCUUGUUUGUGCCAUUUUUUCCUCUUUUUACCAGUAAUUGCGUGUUUCAUUCAUGGACACAUAAUUCUCAUGUAUAUAAAUUUGAUCAAGACUUGGCUUUUUUGUUAGGCCCCAACAUCCAGAAGGAUGAAUAAUUCCGCAAAUGGGAAUGUAAAAUAGAAAGAAAAAAAAAGCUCGAUCUUUUUAUGAGACAAAAGUUCCCAAAUCUGGAGACAAAGUUGUUUUACUCUUGCUUUUCGGAUAUUUCAUGCUUGAAUAAAAACGCAAAUCUCUUAUCUGUCUUAACAUGAUUAUGGCAUAAUUGAAUUGAAAAUGUUGCAAAAAUAACUUCAAAAUGUAGUUAAUUUCUCGAAAUUACUUAUGGCGGCAUUGACUUGUGCACUCUCAGUCUUUAAUUAGUUUAUCUAUAUGCUGAUGGAAGUAUUUCGUACAUGUUGAGAAUUGGCAUAAAACUGUUACUAUUAUAAAGGAUUUGUGAUUCUAUGGGCAUGUUAUUUUAGAUAUUUGUUUCCAUCUCCCUUUCUUUUUCCUUUAGCUGGAUUCCUAUGUAUAAGAGUAGGUUUGAUUUUCUUUGUAAUGUGACUAGGAUGAGGUUUUAGUAUCCUUUACUACCACUUGUACAAUAUCCUUAAAUUAGACUGUUGGAUAAUUUAAUUAUAAUUAAUGUUAAUCCUUUUUAUUGUCUUAAACAUAUCAUUGUUUAUAUUGUAACUUGUAUCAGUUGUUGCGGCAGUACAUGCCAUGUUUCUUUUCCCUAUGAUUUUAAAUGUCGUCAUCUGAUCAAUUUUGAUCAUCUCUUCACCAGUGUACGUAGCACAGAGUUUACUCCUUAGAAAUCAAUGAGAAGAGUAUCUUCCAAUUAAAUGUUGUGUGAUUCUCUAAGGGUAUUUACUUUAUAAUUGUUGGGUUACUAUAGUGCUUGAAGCUACAUUGGUACAGGUGUAGUUUUUUCUGGUGGAAUAUGUCCUAUUACCAAGAAGAUGAUGCUGAAUACAUGGCAGAGGAGUAUGACAUGGAGGACAUAGAUGACAUGGAUGAAGAGUUCUGCGGCAGAGAUAUGUCUGGCUCGGAGUCUGAUGUUGAUGAAUAUGAUUACUCGGUUUGUUUGAUGAUUUACAAGAUGCAAAUUGGACUUAAAUUAAUUCAUUCAUAACUUAGGCAAACGUAAAAUAAGUGUUUUUUAUUUUUUAAAAUUGGGAUAAAUCUCAAAACUAUACAUCAACUUUGAACAAAUGUGCAAUGUUAAUACAUAAAAUUUGAUUUUGUGCAAUUUUAUACUUGAAAUUUUCAUUUGAUUCAAUUUUCACAAAUCAUUAACAUAAUUAUAAAUAAAGAGUUACCUUACAAUUAUAUAUUGCAUAUAUAAAUAAUUAUUUUUAUCUAAUAAAUAAAUAAAAUUGAUAUAAUUAUUUUUUAAAAUGUGUACUGUUGAAUCAAAAUCAUAGUUUUAAGUAUACAUUUCAACUUCAAUCAAAGUUUCAUGUGUAUGAUUGUAUCAAAUCAAAGUUCAUGUAUCAAAUUUGCACAUUAGGUUGAAGUUAAUGUGUAGAUUUUGAGAUUUAUCCAUUAAUUUUUUUUUAAAGUUUCUGUUCUAGUUCUCAUGGAUUGCUAGCCAGCCUAACAUAAGUUGACGGUAUUGCAGAAUAAUAAAAUAUCUGAUACUUCUGCUGCUGAAGCUAGAAGAGGAAAAGACAUCCAGGGAAUACCUUGGGAUCAGCUAAGCAUCACUAGGGAAAAAUACAGGCAAACUAGGCUAGAACAGUAUAAGAACUAUGAGAAUAUCCCCCACUCUGGGGAAGUGUCAGGGAAGGUAAAAGUACUUAAAAGUUGCCCGCUUUCCUUCUAAAAUGUGCUAAAUUGAAAUUUCAAUUUGUAUGUAGGAUUGCAAGAUUACCAAGAAGGGUGCAUCAUACUAUGACUUCAGGCUAAAUUCAAGAUCUGUGAAAUCAACAAUACUUCAUUUUCAGGUUAGCUGAAUGGGAAUUUUCAUUCAAGACCUGUGAUGUCAUAGAAGGAUUUGUCUUUUUCUUGUUAAAAUUCUUUCUCAUAUCUUGUAGUUGUACGGCCAGUCCUUUCCUCUUUUACUGCUUGACUGUGGUGUGAUCAUUAUUGUUAGUGAUAGACAUAUCAAUUUGUGGUGAUGCAGUUGAGGAACCUGGUAUGGGCUACAUCAAAACAUGAUGUUUAUCUCAUGUCACAAUUUUCUGUCAUGCAUUGGUCUUCAUUGACACACAAGAAGCGUGAAAUUCUUAAUGUUUCUGGGCAUGUGGCACCAUCUGAGGUCUGUGCUCUGGCAGUGAUUUGGCACUUUAUCUGACUUGUUGGUCUUCUUCCUUUUCUUUUCUUGUUAUCCCCCCAUAUUGUUUCCUCAGAUUGAUUUGCGUGUUUUUCCCUUUUAGAAACAUCCUGGAAGUCUGAUGGAAGGUUUUACGCAAACUCAAGUCAGUACUCUUGCAGUAAAGGAUAACCUGCUAGUUGCUGGAGGAUUCCAGGGUGAACUAAUAUGUAAGGUAAGGAAAGCAACUUUUUUCCUUUCAAUCCUUCAUUGACAAAAAAGAGGUCAGAAAGAGGGAUAAGCCUUUGUGUAGUGAUUGCGGAGCUACUUUUCCAUGCAAUGUAGCUACUUUUCAGUUUUUGCAAGUCACUUGAAGCCUAACAUUUAUAUCUUAACUGUUAUAGACAAUCUAUUGUUGGACAUAUCUGUGAUCCUGUAAGAUGGAUCUGAGUAGAAGGUUCUAUUAUGCAUUUUAGAGCUAAUGAUUUUGCGCUCAUUCUGUUCCAAACCUUAUCUACUUGUUUGUCUUGUUUUGAACUACUUACUGCUUAAAACUUUGUGAAUGACAGGUAAAAAAAUGUAUUUGGAUAGUUUCUUUUUUCCCCUUAGCUCUUGGUUGCUGUUUUCCUGAUGCCAGUUAUUUAAGAAUUAAUUAGUCGAUUUUGAUCUGUAAUGUAGCAUUUAGAUCGACCUGGAAUAAGCUUCUGCUCCAGGACAACUUAUGAUGACAAUGCCAUUACAAAUGCCGUUGAGAUUUAUGUCACUCCAAGGUAUUUCUUGUUUCCUGAUCUGCUGUUGACAUUGAUCUCAGUCAACCUGAACCUAAUUUGCUUUGUUCCUGAAUUACCAGUGGCGCAGUUCACUUUACGGCCUCAAAUAAUGACUGUGGAGUCAGAGAUUUUGAUAUGGAGAAAUAUCAGCUUUCCAAGCAUUUUCAUUUUCUUUGGCCUGUCAAUGUAAGUUACAUACAUUAGGAUUUCAUUGUUUCAGAUCUGUAAACAUACACUAAUGUUAUUUUGUGUAUUAUUAAUUCUGAUUCUGUUAAUCCAAUAAAGGCAAAUGGUGAGAAAUACUUAAAAGUUAUGCUUGUAAUGUUGCUUUUGCAGCAUACUUCUCUGAGCCCUGAUGGGAAACUUCUAAUAAUAGUUGGAGACAACCCUGAUAUUAUGUUGGUAGACUCUGAUACAGGGAAGGUACUUGUCAUCCUGCUUUUGCAAUAUUGUUUACAUUUUUGGAGAUUGCAAAGCAUCAGCUGAUACUGAAAUUAAUUGCAGACUGUUAUGCCCUUGCGUGGACACUUGGACUUUUCAUUUGCGUCAGCAUGGCAUCCUGAUGGUGUCACUUUUGCAACCGGGAACCAAGACAAAACAUGCCGAAUUUGGGAUGUUCGAAACUUGUCAAAGUCAAUUGCUGUUCUAAAGGGAAACCUUGGAGCAAUACGGUCCAUUCGCUACACAUCUGAUGGUAAGUACAUGGCCAUGGCUGAGCCUGCUGACUUUGUGCAUGUGUAUGAUGUCAAAAGUGGGUACGAGAAUGAGCAAGAAAUCGAUUUCUUUGGUGAGAUAUCCGGCCUAUCCUUUAGUCCGGACACAGAGUCUCUCUUUAUUGGCGUAUGGGAUCGUACAUAUGGCAGCCUUCUUGAGUAUAGCCGGCAGAGGAAC